rnacentral:lncRNA from 1 species
UUAGAGUUUAGAGUUUAGGGUUUAGGGUUUGGGGUUUAGGGUUUAGGGUUUAGGGUUCAGAGUUGGAGAGUCGGAUUUUGGGAUAAGAUAAAUAAAAAAAAUUUAAAUUUUUCAAAAGAUAAAAUGCUAUUUUGGUCAUUUUAGUUUUUGAAGACUAUUUUUGUGACAUAAAUUCAGAAUGGUGCUAUUUUGGAAAUUUGCCAAUUCCAAAAUUUUGUAACAAUUUCACCGAAUUUUAGUGUUAAUUAUGAAAUUUAGUGCAAACAACUUUAGUCGACUAUAACUUAGAACAGAAACUCGAAAUAUCGGUAAGAUAGCUAUUUGCAAUGGAAUUAAUUUACCCAGUGGAGAUAACUAGUUCUCGGACGGAUCCGGAUAUCCGAGAAAUUUAGGAUAUCCGGAUCCGUCGGAUCCGUAGAUUUAAUAUCUGGAUCCAGAUUCGUGGUUUCCGGAUAUCCGGGUUUUGGAUAUCCGUCUCGAUAUUUUAUUAUCCGCAGAUAUCCGGAUCCGGAUUCGUCAAAAUAAUUAAAAAUAAAUUUUUUAACAAAAAAUACUAAUUUUUUUAAUAUAAUACAUAAAUUAAAUAUUUAUAAAUAUAUUUAUAUAUGUUUAUAAUAUUGUAAAAACUAAAAUAUAAUAUUAUAAGAUUAAUUCAUGUAUAAAUAUUAAUAUAUCAAAUAUAAAUAGAUGUAAAAACUAAAAUAUAAUAUUAUAAGAUUAAUUCAUGUAUAAAUAUUAAUAUAUCAAAUAUUGAUAUUAAUAAAAUUUAAAAAUUUAAUCUAUUUUAAAAAUACGGAUCCGGAUCCGGAUAUCCAGACCUAAAAAUUAAGAUAUCCGGAUUCGGUUUGCACGGAUCCAAGAUUUUACUAUCUGUAUUCGGAUCCGGGCACCUCUAGAUAUUCUAUUUUCGGAGCGGAUCUUAGAUCGAAUCCGGAUCUCGGAUAAUAAGUACAGGCCCAGAGAUAACAACCUUAUGGAACAUUUCGCCUAUCUACAUAGACCGGGUUCAGCUUUGCGCGAGGCUACUUUGACUGAGCAGAUAAAGAUUAUGGGAAGGUGACUUCUAAAUCCACAAUGGCUCAAAAGCCUUUAAAAAUAAACGUUGAACCAAAAAAGCUAUGUACAAACUGUUAAUGGACCUCAGGUUCAUAUCAAAAUUAAUUCUACACAAAUCAGUUGAUGUGUUUUAAAAUAUGAAAGGGCCAAUCAAAAUUAUAGAAUCCAUUUCGUACAACGGACUACGGCCCAUUUCGUUUCGUAUUGCCACAGAAAUCUACUAAAAAUGAAACAUAUAAACAAAGGGAAAGUGAGUGUUUCAAAACAAAAAAAAACAAAAAACAAAGGGAAAGUGAAUUUGAGAAAUGGUACUAUUUGAUGGCUCUUUCUUAUGAAAAUUAUGAGAAUCUUAUUUACUCUUUACUCUAUUUUUUUUUGUUUUUUUUUUGUAGUACUCUUUACUCUAUUUGCAUUUGUAUAAUUUGUUCAUACAACCAAUAAGCGUUAAGAAAAUUUGUUCCGAUCAUUUUAUGUUUGGUUUGGUUUUUACUUUGAUGAAAGUGAAAACAGAAAGUGUGAAGGGAGGAAGAGUACAAGUAAGAUACUCGCUUGGCUUUAGGUUUUAAGUUUUAACUUUGCGCACAGUUUAGACAAAAAAUCAAACUAAUGUGCCUUGACAAACAGAACAAGUAAAAGACGUUGCCUAGACUUUUUAGUCCAAACUAUUGAGAUUAUUAAAACAUCUCGAACACGCCUCCUCUGACAUUUUCUUUUAUUAAAAGAAAAAAAGCACCAAAGCUACAUCGCUAUGAGUAAUGACAUCUAUCAUCUGACAUUGCAGUUCAAACAGAAAUACAGUAAUAUUUUUUCUUGUGCGGGGAAGUGUAAGAGUAAAAAGUGUCACACCGAGACCUGAGCCAUCGUGUCUCCACUUUUUCUAUCUACUUAUGAAACCCUAUGUACGAAUAUCCCGCAUUUCUAGGAUUUAGUUCCCUCGUUUUGUCUGAAAAAGAUAGUUGAAUUAUUUUUUUGAUCGUGCUUACAAACCAUACCCAAGAGACAGAGAAUGAUGAUUCGAUCACUUCUGAUUACUUUUGCUAGUUACAAGCUUUAAGCAUGGUUCAGAAGGUUUAUUUACUUCUUUGGAAGUGCAUUUGAACAAAAAAUCGAAUAAAACAAAAAAUGGUAAGGUGGAUAAGGGGAUGGGGUACGGUAUAUUCUCCAAGCUGCAAAGAAUAGUUGUAGCUCAGAAGAAAAUGGACGUAGGAUUCGCAUGUCUGCCCGAAGUUGGAAGACAAUUGUUCAUUUGUUAUGUCUAAUCUAUGAACUUUUCAAAACCAAUAAAUCUCCCUCGAGUAAUGUUAGUCUGAAUUAAAUGGAACUUGACUAUACUAAAACAAGAAUAGGAUCUGAUAAUGAUAAUUGUGAAGCGCGGAGUUGUACUCAAUUGACAUCCAUGAAAAAAGUUACGAAAUGAUUAUUUAUUUUAUAUUCCACUAUCAGAUUACAAAUCGACUUUUGGAGUUUAGACUUUACGCUUUGAUGAAAGGGACCAGAUGGGGUGACCCGCAAAAGGCAAUAAUGUACAGACAAACUAUGCGAAGAGAACAGCGUUCAUGGGAAGCAUUAGAAUUGGCUGUGGUAGUGGUCAGCACAAAAGAUAUCGUUGGACCCCAGAUGAUACUUUUAUUUAUUAUAUAGUCAAUUAAAUAUGUCUAGCUAAGUAUCUAGGAAGUAACAAUUCUUUUUUGAAUUUUGCUCAAUAAUAUAAGUCGUUCAAUUCUGGCGGUAAGAAAACAAUAAUUUAUGCAAGUUUGAGCAUUUUGUGUUGUAAUCCCACAAUGUGUAUGAAUGAAUACAACGUACUAAAUACGUGCAACUAUACUAACUUUUUUACAUAAACAAGAUGUUUUUUUUUUACUCAGAAAAAUAUUUUUUUUUCCCGCAAAUUGAAAUACAUUCCAAUGGAAAAUACUUGUUUUAAUACAAGAACCGGCAGAAAACGAACAUUCCCCAGACACAAAAGCCCACAUGGAAGCGACAGAUAGAACUCACACAAGGGUGAGAAAAACGAUUACCCUCUACACUUGGGAAUUAAGCAACCAACUUAGCACACUUUAGAACACGGCGGAAGCUAAUGAACAGGAAUUAUCGCUGCUGAUCUUUGAUCGCCACCCGAAAAACUCCACUUCUCGCACCCAGUCCCGCCGACCUAUCGCUGCUGCUCAGUCCCGCCAAACGAUAACGUCCAAGAACCCAAAGAACCUCAAGACUUCAUAACCCGACAGGAUGGACCACUACUGGAUCCACACCACUUUCGGAUACAUAAUCAAGAUACAAUAAUAUUUUUGUUGUAUUAUAGUACAGCUAAUGCCAACUAUACUAACUUUUUUUAUAUAAUUAAGAUGUUAAAAGACAAUGAUAUUUUGUUGCAUUAUAGUACAGUUAAUGCGCUUACACAUGAAAACGUUCGGUAAUCAAACAGUUUGGCCUACAAAGAUCCAAGUGAAUUACACAAAGCAACAAACAUUUAUAGCUUUUUAUUUCUUGUAAAUAUUCUCAUCCCCAAACACCAAAAACUUUCUCACCUAUGAAACUCACAAACCUCCUAACGGACCCCUCCUCCUCCUCCGCCUCUUCGCUACCGUCUCCCGCAUGGAACUCCUCCGUAAAUUCCAAACCGCCGUUGCAACCACCAGUUCCAUCAACUAACUUGCUCGAACAUGCACACGAACUUGCUAUAGACUCAGUGACCUGACUUAGACUCUCUGAAUCAUUCGUACCAAAGCUAGGACUAGCGAGAGCUGAAGACUUCCCUGAACGCUUUCUCCGAUCUUUCUUCCCACUUACGUUCUUCUUCUUCUUGGUGUGUUUCUUCUUCUCCAAGCUGUCUUCGUAAGCGUCGAUGAUUUCAUGAAUCAGCUGGCGACUUGGUGAAGAGUCCCAUCUGACCCAGUAACACGUAUAACAGUUGAAACAGUCGCAGUGGAAGAGAGGCGCGUGGUUGUCUAAACGUGACUUCUCGCGGGGUUUGGUCUUAUUCAUGCGAGAGGUAUAGUUUCGGUCGCUUGAGUAAGAGGCUGUUGACAAGAGGUAAGCCAAGACUUCACGGUCAUUUGGAGAAAGAACCGCCGCUAGUGAAAAGAUGGCAACGGGAAGAAGGGAGAGAAGGUGGUCGUCGGAUUUUAUCUGCGGCGAGGGGUGUACGGUUCCUUUCCGGUAGAGCUUCUUCAUUGCUUCGUAUGUAAGAGAGAGAGAGAAAGAGGGACCAGACAGACAUUAUUAAAGAAGAUGUUAUUGAGACUUUUAAAUACACGAAAGAGUCUUUAGGUUUCUGUUUGUUUCAUUCUUUAUUUAUUGUUUUGUCAUUUUAGUUAGUACUAUGCUACUAUGAAAUUAGGCUACAUGCAAAUAAUACUCGACAACAUUUAAUUGGUCCAAGUUAAAAUGUUCAAUAUGCAUAAUAAAAUGCAUCAAGUUUGUUUACUAAAGUGUUUUUACAAUUUUAAAAUAAAAGUUUUCUUUUUGUGUGAGUUUACUGCUUUUCAAUAUUAUGUGUCACAAAGGUCAUCACUCAUCCAUGGGUUUUGGAUGUAUUCUUUUGUUUUUGAAAGUUUCAUGAAAUUUGUUUGAUACUUUAAUUAACAGUUAUACUUCUAAGUUUGUUUGUGAUAUAUCAUUAUCGUCCAACACUUGUAAAGCUGUAUGUAGGGGUGGAAACUUUACCCGAUAUCCGAAGCCGCACCCGAACCCGACCCGAAAAACUCGAACCGAAAUCCAAACCGAAGUAGAAAAAUACCCGAACGGGUAUUAAGUUAGGAGAUAUUGGAUAUCCGAACCCGAACGGGUAAUAUCCGAAUCUGAAUGGAUAUUCGAAGAUAACCGAAUAUUUGUAUAAUUACUCUUAUAUUUCUAGUUUACAUCUCUUAUUUUUUUCAAAAAAAUAUUUAUAUUGAUGUUACACAUACUUUAAGAUCAUAACUAUAUAUAUAAUUAUGAAAAAAAUAAUUUGAUAUUCAUUUAAAAUGCAUGUCAAACUUUUUGUUUCAUGUAUUAACAAAAAUUACAUUGAAAGACUAAAAACAAUACCCAAAUUAAUAUCUAUUUGUUUUUGAAAUAUUAUCUUCAAACCUAUUAAUCAUUCAAUCUAUAAAAAAUAAAAAAAAAACAGUUAAGUGAAAUCUAUAUUUUUAAAUACAAUAAACUUAAAAAAUGAAAAAUUUAAUUUUUUUUCUUUUAAAAUCUAAAUAUCCGAACCCGAUUCAAAAUAACCGAACCCGAACUAAAAAAUACCCGAACCAGACCCGAAAUAUAGAAAUAUCCAAACGGAUUCUCUAGCCCUAUACCGAAAUACCCAAAAAUACAAAAUAUCCGAUCCGAACGGGUGUCGAACGCCCACCCCUGGCUGUAUCAUUUGUUUAUAAUCCAAUAAUUGCAUGUUUUGAAGUUCCGAAUAAUACAUAGAGCCGGGCAAUAAAAUAACGGGCCAAAACUGGAAAAGCCCAACUUAAAAUUAUUGCACUAAACAAAUUUUAUAUAGAACCACCCUAUAUACGCUGCUAGAGAAAGCCAAUCUACAACUUUAUAGAUGGUUGCUUCUUUGACACCCCUCACCCCAAACUUAUCUAUAUUUACAAAAUAUCCAAAAUUCACAAUUAUUAACUCGCAAUGCCCUAUGCUUUGUUCUUUAACUAUUACAACCUCACUCCACUGCCGUUGAAAGCCACAGUGAGCUGGCCAACUCUUAAGCCAUGCAUCUUCCUCUCCACCUCCUUAUAACCGUUAAGCGUAGCUGUUUUAACCAACCCUUCAAACCCAACACGUGGUCCACAUCCACAGCUCUUAACCCUAGUAACCACUUCAUUAGAGGUUCGUUUAUAGUGACCGAACCACUUGGCUUGCAUGUAAGCGUUCCUCCUCCACGGUGGCACGUGAAUCUCGGCUCGCUUCAUCGACCGUCUUAUCUCAAAGCACAUGAUUCUUACUAACUUUUUCAAUUCUUCAGGUGUUCCCAUGAAGACACGUGGUAGUUGAGCUAAGAGAUAAAGGUAUCUUGUUGUAGGCUUAGCAAUCUCGAAUUCGCUGGCAAGAUUUGUCUCGACGAUGAAGCGGUUCUUAUCUCCUCUAUUAACGUCAACGUACUCGUACUUCCCCGCCGUGUUCUUACCAAAUCUCUCCCACUUGGACUUGCAAAGACCUAUGUAAUAUAUUCAUCUUUUCAUUUUAGUAUAUUCUCAUGUGAAUCACAAAUCAUAAAAAAAAUAUCCAUUAGUAUGAUAUCAUACACUUAUAUACACAAGUACAAAAAAAUUCAAAUAUUAAAAGAAAAUGCGAUCAUCAAGCGUAGUCACUUUUAUAUGUUUAUGUCGAUCCAACCUCGUCAUUGUUUGUAACCCUACUUACUAUUGCGUACAGGUUUAUCUACUACAUAUGGAUCAUCGUCUCAUUUCGUAUUUGCACAUUUAAAUACCAAAAUCCACUAUGGUACUUAAUACACAUACACAUAUUGCAAAUGAGAUCCACCAACCUAUUAAAUUUUCCUUGAAAAGCUUAAUAAUAAUCAAGGAUAUGCUACAAAAUCCAACUAUAUGACUCAGUUUCAAAUACUACGAAGGUAGAGAGAGUUAUGUUAUACAAUAUUCAUACAUCUUUCUUAACGUGAAUCUACUAUACAUGCGAUUUAUGCCAAGAAAUCUCUACUAGUAAUAAAAUGACCAAUCAAUCUUGAAGCUCAAAUGUAUUAUUUUCUUGACAAAAUCAUUUUCCAAUCACAAGAGCAGCUUAAUUCUCGAUCAUUUUUUUUUUUGUAAUAAUUCCUCUAAACCACCCAUUUCCUUUGUAAGUCUUAAUCAAUAUAGAUAAUAAGAUAAACCACUAACAAAAAAUGAUUUUGUUAACAAGAGAGCAUUAGUGUUAGUACCUGCAUCGAAACCUUUGUCACGUAAAUAAGCCAUCAAGAGGCGUUUCUCUCCGACGAACUCACUCGCAUUUACUACCUCCUCAAUUAUUCUCCUCCGCUCUCCGCCGCGACCGAGAUUUUCACAAAUCUCCCGCAACCUCUCCUUCACAUCUUCAUAAUCAUCAUCAACGUCAGACUUAUCAUCUUUAUCUUCCACAGGAAAAUCCUCUGGUAAAGCUUUCACUUCGCUGUCCAUAAAAGAUUCGACCAGAUCCCAAAGAUCGGCUGUCUCAUAAGGAAAGUGAUCGCUCCCGCUGCUGCUAUCGCACGGCGGACGUGCACGCGCCGCCUCGACAUCAAAAGCCGCAGCGAGUAUGUUAAAUCUUCUCGGAAUCUCUACCAUUUUAUGUGCCCUUUUCCUGGCUUCUCCUCUCUUCGGCGAAUUGUUAUAAAUACACAAGAAUAUUAUAUUUACUAUUUAAUGAUUUUUUCCAUUGUGUUGACAAAGCCUUUUGACUAUUUGACGGAGUAAACGACAAAAUGGUAAAAAAUGACAACAUGGUGGUGAAAUGAUGGUGAAUAAGGGAUUAACGGCGUUAUGUGUUAACGGAGAAACCAUAAAUCCCUUUAAAGUUAACUACAGUUUUGGGAUGUUCUGGUUGAUUAAUUUUGAGAGCCUCAAUAGCGUCCAAAUACAUCCACUUCAAAGCGAAUCACAUUUAUCAAAGAGAAAAAUACAAAAAUAGCACUAAAUCAAGUUUUUGUUCCCAAACUAGCACUCAAAGUCAAAAGUCACAAAAAAGCACUUAAUGUUUUAUCAAAAGUCACAAACUUAUGGUUUAGAGUUAAAGGGUAGGGUUUAGGAUUUAGGGUUUAGGGUUUAGGGUUUCGAGUUUAGGGUUUAGGGUUUAGGGUUUAGGGUUUAGGGUUUAGGGUUUAGAGUUUAGGGUUUAAGGUUUAAAGUUUAGGGUUUAGGGUUUAGGGUUUAGAGUUUAGGGUUUAGGGUUUAGAGUUUAGAAAUGAGGUUUUGGGGAUAAGAUUUUAGGGUUUAGGGUUUAGAGUUUAGGGUUUAAGGUUUAAAGUUUAGGGUUUAGGGUUUAGGGUUUAGAGUUUAGGGUUUAAGGUUUAAAGUUUAGGGUUUAGGGUUUAGGGUUUAGAGUUUAGGGUUUAGGGUUUAGAGUUUAGAAAUGAGGUUUUGGGGAUAAGAUUUCAAAUUUUGAAAAAUAAAAAAAUUAUAAUUUUCAAAUGAUAAACUUAGAAAAGUGUUAUUUUGGUCAUUUUA